rnacentral:rRNA from 1 species
GGGAUUGCCUCAGUAACGGCGAGUGAAGCGGCAACAGCUCAAAUUUGAAAUCUGGCUCCUUCGGGGUCCGAAUUGUAAUUUGUAGAGAGUGCUUCGGGCGAGACCUCGGUCUAAGUCCAUUGGAACAUGGUGUCAUAGAGGGUGAGAAUCCCGUAUGCGACCGUGGCUCGAGCCCAUGUGAAGCCUCUUCGACGAGUCGAGUUGUUUGGGAAUGCAGCUCAAAAUGGGUGGUAAAUUUCAUCUAAAGCUAAAUACUGGCUGGAGACCGAUAGCGCACAAGUAGAGUGAUCGAAAGACGAAAAGCACUUUGGAAAGAGAGUUAAACAGUACGUGAAAUUGUUGAAAGGGAAGCGCUUGCAACCAGACCUGCCCGUAGGCGAUCCGCCGCUGUUCUCAGCGGUGUACUCGCUCUGCGAUCAGGCCAGCAUCGGUUUCGGCGGUCGGAUAAAGGCCUUGGGAAUGUAGCUUCCCUUCGGGGGAGUCUUAUAGCCCUCGGUGCAAUGCGGCCAGCCGGGACCGAGGACCGCGCUUCGGCUAGGAUGCUGGCGUAAUGGUUGU